rnacentral:rRNA from 1 species
UACGUAGGGUGCGAGCGGUAAUCGGAAUUACUGGGCGUAAAGCGUGCGCAGGCGGCUGUGCAAGACAGAUGUGAAAUCCCCGGGCUCAACCUGGGAACUGCAUUUGUGACUGCAAGGCUAGAGUACGGCAGAGGGGGCUGGAAUUCCGCGUGUAGCAGUGAAAUGCGUAGAUAUGCGGAGGACCACCAAUGGCGAAGGCAAUCCCCUGGGCCUGUACUGACGCUCAUGCACGAAAGCGUGGGGAGCAAACAGG